rnacentral:rRNA from 1 species
CUCAGUUCGGAUUGAAGGCUGAAAUUCGCCUUCAUGAAGCUGGAAUUGCUGUAAUGGCAGGUCAGCAUACUGCCGUGAAUACGUUCCCGGGCCUUGUACACACCGCCCGUCACACCAUGAGAGUUGGAAAUACCCGAAGCCUGUGAGCUAACUGUAAAGAGGCAGCAGUCGAAGGUAGAGCCAAUGAUUGGGGUGAAGUCGUAACAAGGUAAC